ensembl:snoRNA LOC120099464 small nucleolar RNA SNORA29
UUUCCCUUUUGACUACCACAAUUUAUCCUAAUAGAGUUUAGUGGCUAUGUUUAAGGGCUAGAUGAAAAGUGCUGUGAUCUGAAGAGGGGGAGCUUUUCCCUGACUUUCCUCUAUAUGAAAUGGCUAAACACAAAAAA